CUGAACAUGAGACUUCAAGGAUUAGAGCCAGUUGUCUGCACACAUCAAAGCCUUUGGAAACAAGCUACAACUUUUCCAAAAACACUUGUCACAAACUGAGCCUGACACUGCACAUUUCUCAGCUCUACAGGAGGUAAUGAACAGUUUUCCACAGGACAAUAUUAAUACAUAAACAAUGAGUUUACCAACUCUCAGCUAUUGGACCGUGAUGAUGCUCCUCAUCAGCUGCAACUGGCUUUAUUUUAUUUUUGUGGUUGUUUAUUUUAUUUUUCUGAUUAUUUUAUUUCUCCAGUUGUAUGUUUUAUUUUCUGGCUGUUUAUUUUAUCUUGCCAGUUGUUUGUUUUAUUUUUCCAAUUUUUUAUUUUAUUUUUCCAGUAUUUUCUUUUCUUUUCUUUUUUUGGUUGUUUAUUUUAUUUUCUGGCUGUUUAUUUUAUUUUUCCAGUUGUUUAUUUUCUUUUUUCUUUUUUCGGUUGUUUAUUUUAUUUUCUGGCUGUUUAUUUUAUUUUUCCAGUUGUUUAUUUAAAUUUUUUUGAUUGAUUGUUUAUUUUAUUUUUCCAGUUGUUUAUUUUAUUUUUCUGGUUUAUUUUAUUUUUCUGGUUGUUUAUUUUAUUUUUCCAAUUGUUUAUCUUAUUUUUCCAGUUGUUUAUUUUAUUUUCUGUUGUUUGUUUAAUUUUUUAAAUUUUCCAGUUGUUUACUUUAUUUACCGAGUUUUCUUUCAUUUUCGCAGAUGUUCAUUUGAUUUGUCCAGUUUUUUGUUUUGUUUUCUCAGUUGUUUGUUGUAUUUUUCCACAUGUCUAUUUAUUGUAGUUGUUGUUGUUUACUUUAUUGUCAUUGUUUGUUGCGUACAUGUCCAUUUCUAGCCUCAAAUUUGACAUAUUACACGUGAUGAUAUUAUUGAUUAUGAAUGCAAAUAAUGUAGUGGUGGCUAUCGAUGAAGAGACAUCUUAAACAACAAAAAUGUUUGUUUCAUUCAUAUUUAUCUGUGCUUUUUUCAUGUCUACUACAUUCACAGAUUACUGCAAACUCAAAGUGCAAUUAUAGCGAUUACAUUCAACAUUUUAAGACUUUUUGUAAACUCAAGCACUUUCAGUGUCUUGAAAAGUGGUCUAUUAUGGGAUGGGUACAUUGUUUGAUGGUAGCAGGACUGUCAUAGCUAACGUUAACUCUGGUGCUAGCAGCAACAUGCUUUGCAUUAAGGUGAUCAGUAAACUCUUUGUUGCACAAUUUGCACACAACCACACUUUUAUCCAAGCUGCCAUCGGGAAGAUUGUUAGAAGAAAAUGUUCCACCCAGCAAGCUUAAUGUCGUCUCCUCUUCCUUCAAACUUUCUUGUGCGCUGCCAUUACUCAAUACAUCCUGUGUAUCUUCUUCGCAGCUGGAAAAGACCCUGAUGUGUUUCUAUUAACGUCUCCGUGCUUUUAUAUUGAUAGUCUGGCAUCCUACAAAGUAACUUCC
ensembl:lncRNA